CCUCCUGCCUUCAAUCUUUCCCAGCAUCAGGGUCUUUUCCAAGGAGUCAGUUCUUCGCAUCAGCAGGGAGAGAAUUGGGCCCUUUGCUUGCAGCACAAGAAGAGUGCAUACAGAUCUGCUGGCCAUGGGGACUGUCAUCAGUGAAACUGAUCGUGCUCUUUCUCUUCACUGGUAAAGAGUAAAGCAUUGUUCACACAUUGUCCAUGUGAAUUGUGUCUUCUUG